UACGAAGGGGGCUAGCGUUGUUCGGAAUCACUGGGCGUAAAGCGCACGUAGGCGGAUUGUUAAGUCGGGGGUGAAAUCCUGAGGCUCAACCUCAGAACUGCCUCCGAUACUGGCAAUCUCGAGUUCGGAAGAGGUUGGUGGAACAGCUAGUGUAGAGGUGAAAUUCGUAGAUAUUAGCUAGAACACCAGUGGCGAAGGCGGCCAACUGGUCCGGUACUGACGCUGAGGUGCGAAAGCGUGGGGAGCAAACAGG
rnacentral:rRNA from 1 species